UUCUCUGACUUGCCUGGCAUCACACAGCUCAAAUGGAGACCAAAUUCUGCAAUUCUGUCUUUCCCUCUCUGGCAUCACCCUCAAAAGGCCCCCUUCUCCUUUCCUGUAUACCGGUGGAUCUCAACCAACGGCAACUUUGCCUUUCAGGGGACAUUUGGAAAUGUCUGGAGGUAUUUUUGGUUGACACAACUGGCGGAGGAGGGCGCAGGUACAGGUGCUACUGGCAUCCAGUGGGCGGGGGCCAAGGAUGCUGCUAGACAUCCGACGGUGCACAGACUACUCCCACAAAGAAGUCUCUGGCCCUGAAGGUUAAUAGUGCAGAGGCAGAAAAGCCAAGGUCGGGACUGCGCCCCACAUCAGACGGAAGUUCCAGCCUCUGGGAGUUGCCAGGGCUCCUCUGCCCAGCGACAGGCUUGGCCUCUCUCCCGAGGCUGCCACAAGAGCUGAAGCCACUGUCUAGAAUGCCCUUUGGCAGCAGGCAAGUGUCCCCUGUGGAGUUUCCUGCGGGACAGGCAGUGCAUCAGCUGGAGCUGCUGUGUGUUAUAAUUUAUAGUCACAGGACGCCUGUCUUCAUUUAGCAGCAAGCUCGCUGGCAGCUGCCCUGCCAGGGAGGAAGUGAGGCCCGCAGAGGCCCGCAGCCCCCCCAGCUGACAGCCCGUGGUAUUUGGGGACGGCUGUUGCUCGGAGGCACCUGGGAAUAGGCCGGGGUGGAGAUGGCGCUGAGCACGUGGUCUCCCCUUCCGACCCAUCCGUCAGCAGCGGCCCCUGCCAGAAGAUGGCCUAUUGAACAUUUCCAGGAAUAGCACUGCCAAGCCUGUCAACUGCUUUCUUGGAAAUACACUCAAUAAGGAUGGCGGGCCUCCAGCAGGGAGAGCAGAAAGCCCGGCCUGGACCACGCCACUCAGAAACGGCAGGGCCUGGCUGCAGGCCCUGGCAGUGCCUUGGGGAAGAGGAGCUGUAGCUUCUGGAGUCGUUUAAAAAUGUUCUCAGUGUGGAGGGGAGAUGACCACAGCUUUCGGAAGGUCGGGCCCUGCUGACCUCAUGCAACCCCGUGACCUUUAAAUGCCUGCUGUGUUUGUUCAGACACCAGCAGACAGGAAGGCUAUCCGGCUUGGAGGCCAGGUAUUAACUAGGUAUUAACUGUCAGCAGUGAUUGAGCUCAGUGUCAUCUGGGGAGACUUGGCCAUCACUCCUUCUCUUGUAAGCUUCUCUCGCAAAUAGCGCCAAAGGAACAUAAGAAAGGGGGAGUAUUCCCCACUCCACCCCACCAACCCCACACACACUGUGACUGUGGAGAUACAGCAAAUAAGAGGCAAAGAGGUGAUAACGAAAGAAAAAUAUUAUAAUCCACCCUUCCCCUCACCCCCUGCAGAAGUAACCUUCCCCCUCACAGAGGCCUGACAUUCCUGUUGAAAUUUGACCACUUGGAACUCUUUGCUCUCUGAGCUACGGCCUUCUCCAGCCUCUGGGGGGUUGCCCAGGGGUUGCUAGGCUUGGGGAUGCCCUAAGAAGGCCAGCUGCCUUCAAAGAAAAGCUCCUUGAAGAUGUAGGCAUUAUAAAAAAGCAAGAAAUCAAAAACUGCUAUGUGGAGGGUUCAGGGAAUAUUGGUUCCUCACCUUUUAAAAAUAAUAAUAGCGUUAUGAAGUUUACCACAGAGCAAGUAUGGGACAUGUCUUUCAUUUCUAAAAGCCACUGAUUCACAGGACAAACAUUAUUCGAGACCCACACUGACCUACAGUUAGUUGGUGGUAGGGCUGCCAAAUACACUGUCAGAUGCCCAAGUAAAUUUAAAGUUCAGAAAAACAACAAAUAAUCUUUUUGGUAUAAGUUUAUCUACAAGUCCAGUUUACCUGGGUGCUGUGUGUUUUUUUUUUGUUAAAUCUGGUCACUUCUAUUUGGGGGGAUAAAUUGUCCUAGUUGUUAAUAACGGGGAACAGCAAUACAGAUUCAACACAUAUGAAAGAUCAUAGCUGUUAGAGGAGGAAGGCAGGGAAGGAGGAGGGUAGCAAGGAAGGGGAGAGGAAGAUCAAGAAGAAAGGGAGAUAGGCAUAGUGAAGGAGAAAGAAACUAAGUGAAAGAGAAACAGGAAGUACUGAGGAAAGAUGAAAACAGGAACAUCUCUGAAAGACCUAAAAUGCUGUGACAGUUCACAGGACGCUGUUUCCCUGGGAAAUGCCGUUUCCUUAGCUAACCACUGUUCCUGCAUCUUUUGCUGCUCUUUGUUCUAUCUGGUAAAACCCACAGUGGCCACUAGGGAGUAAUGAGUCCUCAAGCUAUGAUGGCAGCAUCUAGGCCAAUAUUGCCCUGGAGGCAGGUUGAAACCAAACCUAAGACUAUAUCCAACCCUAAGACCUGUCCCCCAUCCACUCACCCUACUCACCGGUACCCACAUUGCUGUCAUCAGAGGACUGUGGAUUUUCAAAGAAUUGGCAUCUGAACAAUACAGCGGAGCUGGUUGUCAUGAUUCUAUGGAACUUUCUUGUUGUUGAUGAUGAUUCGGAAAAUCAGUAGCUUCUUUUGCCUCGGGAUGAAAGUGGUAAGGAGCGGGGCAUACAUGCAGGCAGCAGAGAUUUCCUGAGUUGUUAAUCCCCUUGUUCUCUGACCUGCAGAUAGGAGGCCAGGUUGGCCUAACCCAAAGAGAGAAGCCUUAAUAGGCUUCUAGGGGGAUGAGAGAGGCAGGCCUCGUAGGGAAAAGCUGUCAUGGUGGUGGUGGUGGGAUGGAGGGGACCCUGCUUUGGAGCCCCCCAUCCCACAUGUAUCCUGGGGAAUGGAAAUGGGGCUGCCCUCGGUUACCUGGGCUGCACUAUUACAUUAGAUGUGUGAUACCAGGGCAAGGGAAUAGGUCUCCCCAUAAACUCCAGUGAGGAGCAGAAGAGACUGACCAGUGGCCCACUAUAUUGUGACUGUAUUCCAGACAGCUGCUCAGACUGUGGCCACGCGGGAUGUUGUCAUUACAACAGUAGCUAACACUCAGCAAGCAUCUCCUCUGGGCCAGGCAUGUGGGAGGUGCUUUAUAACACUAUCCCAGCUGGCCUUCAACAACUGCCUGAUGUUGUAGGGAUUACUAUUAUUUUUCAUAUUACAAUUUCCCUAAUUUAAGAGAUAGAGAAAUCACAACCGCAAAAAGCUAAGUUGCUGUUUCAAAGUCAACUGAUUAGUGAGUGUUGGGGCUGAGAUUUGCCUGCAGUCCGCCUAACUCCCAGCUCAGGAUUCAACCCCGUCCCUCCCGUCAGACUGCAGAGGUCAGAUCCCAGCUCCAUUACUUACUAGCUGCAUGACCUUGGGUAAGUUAUUUAAUCUCUCUAUGCAACUGCUUCAUCAUCUAUAAAACGGGGGUAAAAAUAGUAUCUAGCCCAUGGAGUUGCUGUGAAAAUGUAAUGAGUUUGUGUCAAGCACUGAGAACCCAGUACUUUACUUCCCUUACUUCAUCCAAUCCUCUAACAAUUCUCGAAGUAGUUAAUAUUCUUAUCCUUAUUUACAUGUGAGGAAACUGAGGCCCAGAGGGCUAAUUAGCUUGGUCAAGGUCAGUAAGUGGGACAGCUGAGAAUCAAACCUAGACAGACUGAUCCAUAGUCCAUACUUAUAGAUUCUGCCUCUGUAUACUUUUACGUGUUCAUUUCAUAGUUUCUGCCUUUUAGAACUGGGACAUUGUCAGGUGGCAUUUUCGUAUACUUACACCUGUGGACAAGGUCCAGGAUCUUCCUUAAAGCUACCAAAUACAUAUCCUUCAUAGUAGAAUUGCUCUGAAGAUUCAACUUUUCUGAAUUUGCUCUCUAUCUCUGCUUGUUGAUAAUGACUCUAGCCGUCAGGCUAGGCUAGGCUACAGUGCAGUAACAAAUAAGCCCUGAAAUUUCAAUGCUGUUAUCACAACAAAGGUUUAUUUCUCCCUCACAGAAAGCCUAAGGAACUUUCCUCUCUGCAUUGACCUUGUAGCUCCGCACAAACAUGCGUGGUCACAGCCAAAUGAGACGGAAGAAGUGGAGGAGAUACUCCCAUUAACAUCCACGGUCUGGUCAUGCCUCUUCUACUCACAGUCCUUUGGACAGGAUAGUAACGUGGCCUCAACCCCUGCAAGCGAGGAGGAAAGCUUGCCUGGAUUCCUGGACAGCACCAACUGCAUAAUUUGUGAGGUCCAAGGCAAAAUGAAAAUACAGACCCCUUGUUCGAAAAGCAGGGAAAAAAGGGCAGUUAAAGGGAUGCAAGCACACAGAGGAAAGGCCAUGUGAAGACACAGCAACAAGACAGCCAUCUGCCAGCAAGGAGAGAGGCCUCAGAGGAAACCAAACCUGCCGACACCUCAGUGCUGGACUUCCAGCCUCCAGAACUGUGAGAAAAUUAAUAUCCAUUGUUUAAGCCACCCAGCCUGCUAUAUUUUGCAGCCCUAGCAGACUAUUGUAUUUACAUAAUUUUUAAAAUCUUAUAGAAUAUUCAUCCUUUAAAAAGGAUAUUCUGACAUAGGCUGCAGCACAGAUGAACCUUGAAGACAUUAUGCUAACUGGAAUAAACCAGUGACAAAAGGACAAAUACUGUAUGAUUCCACUCAGAUGAGGUACCUAGAGUAACCAAACUCACAGAGACAGAAAAUAAAAUGGUGGCUGCCACGGUCUGGGGGAGAGAAGAAUGGGGAGUUAUUGUUUAAUGGGGGCAGAGUUUCAGUUUUGCAAGAUGAAAAACGUUCUGUAGAUGGACCGUGGUGAUUGUUCCACAACAAUGUCAAUGUACUUAAUGCCACUAAACUGUACACUUAAAAAUGAUUA